CCUACGGGAGGCAGCAGUGAGGAAUAUUGGUCAAUGGACGCAAGUCUGAACCAGCCAUGCCGCGUGCAGGAUGACGGCUCUAUGAGUUGUAAACUGCUUUUGUACGAGGGUAAACGCAGAUACGUGUAUCUGUCUGAAAGUAUCGUACGAAUAAGGAUCGGCUAACUCCGUGCCAGCAGCCGCGGUAAUACGGAGGAUUCAAGCGUUAUCCGGAUUUAUUGGGUUUAAAGGGUGCGUAGGCGGUUUGAUAAGUUAGAGGUGAAAUUUCGGGGCUCAACCCUGAACGUGCCUCUAAUACUGUUGAGCUAGAGAGUAGUUGCGGUAGGCGGAAUGUAUGGUGUAGCGGUGAAAUGCUUAGAGAUCAUACAGAACACCGAUUGCGAAGGCAGCUUACCAAACUAUAUCUGACGUUGAGGCACGAAAGCGUGGGGAGCAAACAGGAUUAGAUACCCUGGUAGUCCACGCAGUAAACGAUGAUAACUCGUUGUCGGCGAUACACAGUCGGUGACUAAGCGAAAGCGAUAAGUUAUCCACCUGGGGAGUACGUUCGCAAGAAUGAAACUCAAAGGAAUUGACGGGGGCCCGCACAAGCGGAGGAACAUGUGGUUUAAUUCGAUGAUACGCGAGGAACCUUACCCGGGCUUGAAAGUUAGCGACGAUUCUUGAAAGAGGAUUUCCCUUCGGGGCGCGAAACUAGGUGCUGCAUGGUUGUCGUCAGCUCGUGCCGUGAGGUGUCGGGUUAAGUCCCAUAACGAGCGCAACCCCUACCGUUAGUUGCCAUCAGGUGAAGCUGGGCACUCUGGCGGGACUGCCGGUGAUAAGCCGAGAGGAAGGUGGGGAUGACGUCAAAUCAGCACGGCCCUUACGUCCGGGGCUACACACGUGUUACAAUGGUAGGUACAGAGGGCAGCUACCCAGCGAUGGGAUGCGAAUCUCGAAAGCCUAUCUCAGUUCGGAUUGGAGGCUGAAACCCGCCUCCAUGAAGUUGGAUUCGCUAGUAAUCGCGCAUCAGCCAUGGCGCGGUGAA
rnacentral:rRNA from 1 species